rnacentral:rRNA from 1 species
AAGAUCCAAACUGGNNCAGUCGACGAGAGACCUUUCGGGUCUCUAGUGGCGAACGGGUGAGUAACACGUAGGGAACCUGCCCGCGCACCGGGAAUACGCUCUGGAAACGGAGAACAAAUCCCGAUGUACAGGAAGGAGGCAUCUUCUUUCUGUAAACAUCCUUUAGGGGAUGGGGCGCGGAUGGACCUGCGGUGCAUUAGUUGGUUGGCGGGGUAAAGGCCCACCAAGACGAUGAUGCAUAGCCGGCCUGAGAGGGCGGACGGCCACAUUGGGACUGAGACACGGCCCAGACUCCUGCGGGAGGCAGCAGUAGGGAAUUUUCGUCAAUGGGCGCAAGCCUGAACGAGCGAUGCCGCGUGAGUGAAGAAGGCCUUCGGGUCGUAAAGCUCUGUUGCGGGGGAAAAAAGGCAGCAUCAGGAAAUGGGUGCUGACUGAUGGUGCCCCGCCAGAAAGUCACGGCUGACUACGUGCCAGCAGCCGCGGUAAUACGUAGGUGGCGAGCGUUAUCCGGAAUGAUUGGGCGUAAAGGGUGCGCAGGCGGUCCUGCAAGUCUGGAGUGAAACGCAUGAGCUCAACUCAUGCAUGGCUUUGGAAACUGGAGGACUGGAGAGCAGGAGAGGGCGGUGGAACUCCAUGUGUAGCGGUAAAAUGCGUAGAUAUAUGGAAGAACACCAGUGGCGAAGGCGGCCGCCUGGCCUGUUGCUGACGCUGAGGCACGAAAGCGUGGGGAGCAAAUAGGAUUAGAUACCC